UACUUUUACGGAAUUACUCGGGCGUAAAGCGCCGCAGGCGGUUUGGAUAAUUAGAUGUCUAACUUUGGGGGUCAAUCUGGGAAUUGCAUUUGGACUGUCCUUUUAGAGUCUUGUAGAGGGGGGUAGAAUUCCAGGUGUACCGGUGAAAUGCGUAGAGAUCUGGAAUAAUACCGGUGGCUAAGGCGGCCCCCUGGACAAAUACUGACGCUCAGGUGCGAAAGCGUGGGGAGCAAACAGGAUUAGAUACCCUGGUAUUCACUCCGUAAACGAUGUCGAUUUGUAGGCUGUUUCCUUGAGACUGGCUUUUGAGCUAACCGUUAAAUCGACCGUCUGGGGUAGUACGGCCGCCAGGUUAAAUUCAAAUGAUUUGACGGGGCCGUACAACGGGUGGACAUGUGUUUAAUUCAUUCUACGCAAUUAAUCUUCUUGGCCUUGACUUUUUGGAAUCCUGUUAAUUUCGGAGGU
rnacentral:rRNA from 1 species